rnacentral:piRNA from 1 species
GAACAAGGGACGAGUAAGAAAGA